GUGCCAACCCACUUCUUGCCUUGCUCCAGAGCUUAGCGUAAAAAAUAUGUUCCCAUUUUCAAGGGUAAGGCUGCAUUUCAUGUAUGCCUAGCUGGCCACCCCUCAGCCCAACUCGGCGAUGGCAUCGCUGGCGCUUACGCUGACCUUGCCCAGGCAGUGUUUUCCACCAACUCUCUCCUUGC
rnacentral:sRNA from 1 species